rnacentral:rRNA from 1 species
AUUGAACGCUGGCGGCAGGCCUAACACAUGCAAGUCGAACGGUAACAGGAAGAAGCUUGCUUCUUUGCUGACGAGUGGCGGACGGGUGAGUAAUGUCUGGGAAACUGCCUGAUGGAGGGGGAUAACUACUGGAAACGGUAGCUAAUACCGCAUAACGUCGCAAGACCAAAGAGGGGGACCUUCGGGCCUCUUGCCAUCGGAUUUGCCCAGAUGGGAUUAGCUAGUAGGUGGGGUAACGGCUCACCUAGGCGACGAUCCCUAUCUGGUCUGAGAGGAUGACCAGCCACACUGGAACUGAGACACGGUCCAGACUCCUACGGGAGGCAGCAGUGGGGAAUAUUGCACAAUGGGCGCAAGCCUGAUGCAGCCAUGCCGCGUGUAUGAAGAAGGCCUUCGGGUUGUAAAGUACUUUCAGCGGGGAGGAAGGGAGUAAAGUUAAUACCUUUGCUCAUUGACGUUACCCGCAGAAGAAGCACCGGCUAACUCCGUG